rnacentral:rRNA from 1 species
UACGUAGGGUGCGAGCGUUGUCCGGAAUUAUUGGGCGUAAAGAGCUUGUAGGCGGUUUGUCGCGUCUGCCGUGAAAAUCCGGGGACUCAACCCCGGACUUGCAGUGGGUACGGGCAGACUAGAGUGUGGUAGGGGAGACUGGAAUUCCUGGUGUAGCGGUGGAAUGCGCAGAUAUCAGGAGGAACACCGGUGGCGAAGGCGGGUCUCUGGGCCGUAACUGACGCUGAGGAGCGAAAGCGUGGGGAGCGAACAGG